rnacentral:rRNA from 1 species
AUUGAACGCUGGCGGCAUGCCUUACACAUGCAAGUCGAACGGCAGCACGGGGGCAACCCUGGUGGCGAGUGGCGAACGGGUGAGUAAUGCAUCGGAACGUGCCCAGUAGUGGGGGAUAACUAGUCGAAAGAUUAGCUAAUACCGCAUACGACCUAUGGGUGAAAGGCGGGGGAUUCGCAAGAACCUCGCGCUAUCGGAGCGGCCGAUGUCUGAUUUAGCGUAGUUGGCGGGGUAAAGGCCCACCAAGGCUUCGAUCAGUAGCUGGUCUGAGAGGACGACCAGCCACACUGGGACUGAGACACGGGCCCAGACUCCUACGGGAGGCAGCAGUGGGGAAUUUUGGGACAA